GCUGCCGUGGCCGAGUGGUUAAGGCGAUGGAUUUCUGAUCCAUUGGGGCUCUGCCCUUCGCAGGUUCGAAUCCUGUCGGCAGCG